AUUUGUGAAUUGGGGAGAAGCAAGAGGUAUUCUUUGAACUAUUGUUAUUUGAUACAUGCAGGUCAACUGAAAAGAACAGGCAUGGACAGCCACAGGAAGGGUGGGGCUUCAGGCCACAUUAAGUAGGCAAUAGAAGGAAGGAGAAAAUCUUAUCUCGUGGAACUAUACUAUAUAAACACCUGAAAAUGUCAAAGAUUUGUUUAAAGGGUACAACUUACCCUUUAGCUGAAAUAAAGUUGGGAGGACAGAC
rnacentral:lncRNA from 1 species